GAUGAACGCUGGCGGCGUGCCUAAUACAUGCAAGUCGAGCGAACAGACGAGGAGCUUGCUCCUCUGACGUUAGCGGCGGACGGGUGAGUAACACGUGGAUAACCUAUCUAUAAGACUGGGAUAACUUCGGGAAACCGGAGCUAAUACCGGAUAAUAUAUUGAACCGCAUGGAUCAAUAGUGAAAGACGGUUUUGCUGUCACUUAUAGAUGGAUCCGCGCCGCAUUAGCUAGUUGGUAAGGUAACGGCUUACCAAGGCAACGAUGCGUAGCCGACCUGAGAGGGUGACCGGCCACACUGGAACUGAGACACGGUCCAGACUCCUACGGGAGGCAGCAGUAGGGAAUCUUCCGCAAUGGGCGAAAGCUUGACGGAGCAACGCCGCGUGAGUGAUGAAGGUCUUCGGAUCGUAAAACUCUGUUAUUAGGGAAGAACAAAUGUGUAAGUAACUAUGCACGUCUUGACGGUACCUAAUCAGAAAGCCACGGCUAACUACGUG
rnacentral:rRNA from 1 species